GCCUCCUGGCUCACUGGUAGACAAUUCGCCUUGCACCUGAAAGGUCCCUGGUUCAAUCCCUGGCAUCUCCA